rnacentral:lncRNA from 1 species
CACAUUUUACGCUUCACAGUUAACGCUUCAUGAUUUUUUCUUCUUCUUUUUUUCUUCCUGUUUUUUUAUUUUUGUAAUAGAUACAAUACCUUAUAUAUGUGAACUAGGGUUAAAAUGCAUGAAACUUAACGAGGUUUCCAUUAUACAGGGCCCCCAAAUUUUUAGAAAAGUAUUUAACAAUUCAGAAAAAAAAAGUAGAUAUGACAAAAGUGAAAACUUUAAAGUUGCCUUUAGGAAAGCCUUAAAAUUUAAAAAUAAAUGUGUUGAAAAAUGUUUGACCUAUGCAAAAGUUAAACAAGUUAGAAAAUUAAAAAUAAGUUCAAACGAUGUAAAAUUAUUAUUAAAAAGAAAGCAGCUAUAUGAUAAAGCGAACUCGUCUAAGUAUAAAACCAAUAUAAUUAAUGAUGAUGAUAAUAAUAAUAAUGAUAUUUAUAAUGACAAUAUGUGCAAAGAAUAUACACAAGUAAAGAGCAAUACUGGUGACACCACUAUUGAUAAUAACCAAUUUUUACAAAUACAAGACAUAAAUGAUUUAAAAUAUAAAUUUUUAAAAGAAGAAGAGUUAUGCACAUUUGUUAUUUAUUUGCAAGAGUUCAGAAGGGUAGACAUAUUAAAUGAUAACAAAACGAUAAUAAAAGAAGUUAUAAGAGAGGGCAAUGAAAUUUUCACACCUAAAAGAAAUGAUUGUAUUGAUUUUUAUAUAGAAGAAGACAAAAAAAAAGAAUAUGUUCAUACGAUUUUAGAUGUAAAAAACUUAAAAUAUAGAGGAUUGUAUAAAGUUUUACAAAGUAUGAAAAAAAAAGAAUUGUGUAAGAUUAUUCUUCAAGGUUCAGAAUGCUUUCAUAUACAUUGUUUAGUAGAACCUCAAGAUAACAUAAUAAGUGAAAAACAGGAUAAUGUGCUUGAACAUAAUUUAUAUAAACAUAAAAAACAAAAAAAAAACAAAAAGAAAAAAGGGGUCGAGUGUUACCAUGUAUAUAACCAUGAACAUGUUGAGAAUAGUGAAAGCAUAGAUUACAGUUGCAAUGGUGAAGCAUGUGAUGUGACAUAUGACAACUCGCCGUCCCAAUGCAGUAAAAAUAAAAUAAAUUUAAAAAAAACAAAAAACAUAAUUUUAGAACUAAUAGAUUUUAACAAAUCCAGAACAAUAAAUAUCACAUCUUUUGGUAAUCUCGAGAAAAGUGAAAAACUACUUUAUUAUUUUUAUGAAAAUAAUAAAAGAAAAAAAAACUUUAACUGUCCAAUUAUUGAUACAGAUUGCGAAUUAAUACUUUAUAUGAAAAUUGAAAGUGAUAAAAUAAAUAGUAAAAAAAAAGAUAAUAACAAUAAUAAUAAUAAAAUAUUUUUACCAAUUAAUUAUUUUAAUAAUAAUAAUAAUAAUAUAAAAAAAACAAAAGCUUAUUUUCUUUAUUCUUAUGAUUCAUGUGUCACAACCCCAUUUUGGUUUAACCAGUGUUUGAAAAACUUAAAAGAAGGUAACGAAAUAAUUAUACCCUUAGAAAAUAAUAAAAAUGUUUUUUCCGAAGACCAACAUGCAUAUCAUAUUCUGUUUGAUGAACUCAUAAUGGUAGAACAGGAAAAACAUGGAGAGAACAAAAAACAAGAAACUACGCUUCCUGUACAGUAUACCAAAUCAAAACGUAACAUAACAAGUGACAUAAUUAAACGUGCGAAAAAAAAAAAUAAAAUAAACCUAGAACUAGAAUUACAAAAAAUAAACGAUAUGGAAUCAUUUUUUGAAUCUUUAAUUUCUAAUAGGAAUAAAGGAAAAGGAUUUUUUAUAAUUCAUGGAUUAAAAAAACAAGAAGUAAACCAUUUUUGUAAGCAAUUCUUCGCAUUAAAUAGUAAUUUUAUAGAACAACUAAAUAAUACCAAAAAAAUAAUAUAUUCAUCUUUUUAUUGUAACUUUUUCAAAAACAUAAAAAGUAAAAAGUAUUCUAAACGGAUUGUUCAUUUUUGUAAAAAAAAAAAAAUUGCCAAAGUUAAAAGGCAGAGAAGUGGUUACAACAUCGGGGAAGGUCAUUGUGAUGGUGACGUUAAUGGUAGUGCUGAUGGUAAUAAUAAUAAAGAUAAGAAACACAACUGUAGAAAAAACAGACGCAACUGCUACAACAACAGAUGCAAUAGUGACCAAAGUAAAAACAAAGGAAAAGCCACCAACACAUAUAUACCUAAAGAGGGAAACUCCAAUUUAAAAAAGCGAUGCUUAAGUAAAGAAAAAAGAACGUCCACCACAAAGCAGUCCAAAUUUAAAAACUUAUUUUUUUUAAAAGAUGCAUUGCAAAAUGUGUAUUUUGAUAAAUCCUUUUACGAGAAAAACGCAAUUUUAAAAAUAAGGAUUGAAAAAAUUCUUUGUAAAAAAAAAGACCCAUGGAAUAUGAAUAUAUUAGAACAAAUAGAAAAUUUAAAAAUAUACAAUGAAAUGGGUAACGUUUUUAUGAAAAAAGAUUUAUAUCAUGCUGCUUCACUUCAAUAUAAAAAAGGGUUUGAUGUGUUUCGUUUUUCUAAAAUAUAUACUUUAACUUUUGAAGAAAAAAAAUUAAAUAUUUUAAAUAUUGAUGACAAUGAUAAUGAUCAAACAAAAGAACUAUUUUUACAAACACAAAAAAUAUUAAACAAUCUAGCCAUUUGUUUUUAUAAAUUAAAAAAUUAUCCUGAAUGUAUAAAUUAUGCAGAAAAAGCAUAUACAAUCAACCCAUACAACGUCAAAUCGAUAUACUGGAAAAAUAUGGCCUACUUGCAGCAAAACAAACAUAUAGAAGUUAUACAAAAUUUAAACAAUCUUUUCUGCUUAAAUAACGCUACAUUAUUAAAAUUAUAUAACACAGCUAGGUUAAUAAAAAAAAAACACGAUGAUAACUUUAAUUCGCUUUUUUAUGCCAUGUAUGAUAAAAAUGGGGGCAAAAAAAAUGAACAGACAAAAGUGUUAACAUUAUAAAAUUUUUUUUUUUUUUUUUUUUUUUUUUUUUUCUUCCAUAUUUUAUUAGACGUUUUGACACACACAUACAAAAACAUGUUUGUUACAUGUUCUAUGUACAUACAUCAUUCAGUAGUUAUUUUAUUUUAUUUUUUUUUUUUUUUCCUCUCUUUUUUUAUAAACAGAAAAUUAAGAUACAAAACUUAGUUACACAUUUUCUUUUUAUUUUUAAUGUUACUGCUUAAAAAAAAAAAAUAAAAUUAUUUAUUAAUAUUAAAACA